rnacentral:lncRNA from 1 species
AUGAACCCAGCCGAAGGGGCAGCCGAGGAAGGGGCAGUGCCCGAUUCAGAGGUGGAUGCCUUUUUCCGAACAGCCAGGGAAGAGAGCAACAAGCCCCAAAGGCGAGACAGCAGAAGAAGCAGCAGCAGAAGCCCAGCUGAGCCCAGAUUGCCACAACUGGUGGAGUCCUCCCACACCAGAAGCCAAGGCAAGCCACGGGGGGAAGCAACUUCCAGAGAAGUAUUCCAAACAGGGAAGACUACAAAAUCCAAACAUCUUUCCAGUUGGCACCUAUGGACGAGGCCUGAGGGCCCAAAGCAAGUCGUAUUAAAUUGGGAGCAAAAAAAGAAGAAGCCAUCUUCUAGUCACACAGUAAAAACACUUUCCUAGCCCCUACAGACUUCAAAGCGUGCAGCAAAGUGUUAGGAGAAAGAGACCCAAACUUAUGGGCUGAUAUGCAUAGAUAUCACUUUCUUCUUGGGAUUCACCAAAAAUAUUCUGCCGCCUACGGCAAAGAGCAUGAUAGUGGCCUGCCCUCUGGCCUGGCCACUGAACCUUACUUUAAGGCCAUUUUCUCCUCUUGACUUGGUCCUCCAGCAGAAGGGGAUGGCUCUGGAACACUGGGUCGUAAUCUCCCUCUUCCACCUGAGGUUGUUGCGUCACUCCUACUUGGGUUAUCCCUGGGUUCACUGCUUCAGAAUGAACCUAUCUUCAAAAUUACAAACAUGCUGUCCAAUUGUAUCUUGGCAUUAGCGGUAUAAAGGAACAUGAUGUGCAAAUUGCAUUAGAGGCAUGCCAUCUAAAAGUAAAGUCCUAACUAAUACACCCACAGGCUGCUGGCGGUUGGGAUGAGAUGGAGAGAGGUUUUGUUUAUGGGAUGUCCGCUUUGGAGAAACACUUGUGUCCGUAGAAAAAUCUGGAUGUCAAACUUGUCAUUGACAGAGUUCUGUCAUUGGUAGGGUCCAAAACAGAAUAUUCUGGGAUUGGACUGAGGCUGCUUUAGAAACUCUGGAUCCAAAGACUCUCUACAGCCAAUGGGCCCAAGAACUAGUACUUUUAACUGUUCCAGUUUGGUUAUUUUCACCUGCCCCUUGCUUUCCCAAGCCACUUCCAAUUGCACAGUUAGAUCUGUUUUGCAUCUAUAAUCUGAAGCUGAGGAGAGUCAGUGCUGAACUGACAAGCAAAUGAGUUCCAUGGUGGAAGAAAUGUGAAGUCCAAAUGUGACAAAUGUUCCUUUUCAGCUUCCUUUAAAAAAAAACUCCCUUUAAAAAACAACAUCAUCUUUUGAAGCAUUGACUUGAAGAAUAUGGGACAUGGGGUGGAGUGGGGGAGGAUUCUACUAUUGCAUACAGAGUAUAGUUCUCACCCAUCUCCAUAGUCAGUUUGGAAAAAUUUUACUUGGUUUCAGUGACUGUACAUGUUCUCUGAUGGUCUUGCCUGCUUGAUGUUCCUCCCUCUGUCUUUUUCUUUUUAAAUGUACUGUCCAGAUCCAGAUAGAAUUUUGGGAAACACAAAGGCUUGCUUUAUAAUUUUUUUAUGUGUUUAGUUGGUUUUAGUAAAGGUCUUACUUAACUGUGACCUACAGGUUUAGAGCAGUUGGACUAAUGUUUCUAUGGGCACUGUUUACCUGUUGAGAAAUUGCUCUCCAACAUAUCAAGAUGAGGUGUUUCCAGAUUUAAUUUUCCUUCUAAUCAGUGGACAGGUAUUGAAGAUGGAAUAUUAAUGUCAAAUAUUGAGGCUGGAACAGAGAAACAGGUAUGCCUUUACCACUGGCCUUUGAAUAUUCCACCUGGAAUAUUUUUUAAUGAAACAUUUAUUAUCCAGAUUAAUAAAGUAACCAUAUUAAAAUAGUUCA